UGAUUGAACGCUGUCCAAGUACUUGACACAUGCUAAUCGAACGACUAAUUAGUUUUAAUAAACUAAGUAGUAGUGGUGUACAGGUGAGUAAAAGAUAAUUUGGCUACCUUAAAGUAAGGGGAAAAUCCCUUAUAAACGAAAGGAAAAUAAAAGUCCGCUUUAAGAUGUUAAUCUUUAUCUCGGGGAGUAGUAGGAAAGGUAAUGACUUUUCUAGCUAAAAUCCGUAGUCGUGACUGAGAGGUCGAUCGACCACAUUGGGUCUGAAAAAACCCCAAUGCGUAUUAGUACAGCAGUGAGGAAUAUUGGUCAAUGGCCGAAAGGCUGAACCAGUAACUUGGAAGAAUGUAAGUGUAUUAUUGUAAUACAAUAACGAUUAACUCGUAUAAAAUUCUAAAUAGGAUAAUGAUAAUGACAAUUUCCUAUUUAUAAGUCUUGACCAAAUUACGUGCCAGCAGUCGCGGUAAUACGUAGAAGACUAGUGUUAGUCA
rnacentral:rRNA from 2 species